rnacentral:rRNA from 1 species
AUUGAACGCUGGCGGCAGGCCUAACACAUGCAAGUCGAGCGAGCGGCGGACGGGUGGGUAAUUUAUGGGGAUCUGCCCGAUAGAGGGGGAUAACUACUGGAAACGGUGGCUAAUAACGCAUACUAUCGGAUGAACACAUAUGGGAUUAGCUAGUAGGUAGGGUAAAGGCUUACCAAGGCGACGAUCUCUAGCUGGUCUGAGAGGAUGACCAGCCACACUGGGACUGAGACACGGCCCAAACUCCUACGGGAGGCAGCAGUAGGGAAUAUUGCACAAUGGGCGAAAGUCUGAUGCAGCAAUGCCGCGUGAGUGAAGAAGGCUUUCGGAUUGUAAAGCACUUUUGUCGGGGAAGCGUUACUCAAAGAGAAAGCCACGGCUAACUCCGUGCCAGCAGCCGCGGUAAUAC